UACGUAGGGGGCAAGCGUUGUCCGGAAUCAUUGGGCGUAAAGCGCGCGUAGGCGGCCCGGUAAGUCCGCUCUGAAAGUCCAGGGCUCAACCCUGGAAAGCGGGUGGAUACUGCCGGGCUAGAAUCCGGAAGAGGCGAGUGGAAUUCCUGGUGUAGCGGUGGAAUGCGCAGAUAUCAGGAGGAACACCAAUAGCGAAGGCAGCUCGCUGGGACGGUAUUGACGCUGAGACGCGAAAGCGUGGGGAGCAAACAGG
rnacentral:rRNA from 1 species